CUGAGGUCUGUAUUACUGCGCCACGUCACUAAACUCCUUGUGCUGUUAGUGGAUUAAUAUUAAUCUCUGACUCUAAUGCCGCUCGCCUGGACGUCCGAGUGUACUGACGAGUUUCUUAAUGGAAGUCCAAGACGUGACCUGUCAGGCCUUGAAUGGUGUGGAAUGACCUCAACGGAAAUGUUUCAGUUCUUCAGCUGUGCUUUCUGGACUGUGGUUUGUUUAGGACAAUCACAUCACUGCAUAUUUUACUGACCCGUCAUGCAGAAGGGAAACCGUGCAGCGAAGCCUUCAGACUGAGUGCGCAGGCUGCGGAUAGAUUCACCAGCGUUGCUGCCAAAUACUUCAACGAGGCCAAAAGCCCAGCAAAUGGCACUUAAGUUUGCACCAGUCUGCAGAGCGCAUUGGCAUGCCUUUCUCUGUCCUUGAUGAAUGAAUCAGAGAUUCAGAGGCUGUCGGGGUGCAACUAAGGACAGAAGGUGUGCGAGUGCAGAGGUAAAGAGUUAGAGCACUGUGUGUGUUGGUUGAAGAGCAGCUGCCACGCUACGUCUCAGAGGUGACGCAUAGGAAAUGAUCGUGUGGCUGGACCCAUCUCAGUGUCACAUCAACAGGUUAUUAGAUUUAAGAAGGAAGCAAUACACCCAGAAGAGGAUGAGAUGGUGCCAGGUGAGGGGGUGGAUGCUGAGCCUGGACCGAGUGAUGCGGAUCGAAGAGAGACGAAAGAGACUGUGGAAGGAGGCUCCACCCUGGACUGGCCAGCAGCAGAGGUGGCCCAGUCGGAAACUCGAGGGACAAUCUCAGAAAAAAUGUCCUCCAACAAUUUUUUUUUUCUUAAGUUAGCAUCUGCAAGGAAUUCAUGACUAUUUGUGCCACUUUCAUUGUUCAUCAGAUGAUCACACACAACAGUGGUACUCUCUGAUGGC